AAACAGCUUUCCUGUUGGCAUUUCAACACAUCUAUCAGACAAGUAGGCUUUGGCACAGUGGGAAAAAGAGAAGACCAAACACUGAGCAGCUCUGGUGAUCCCCAAAGCCCUGUUAAAGCAGAAGUCAGUAAGAUUUAGCACAGUGGAAGGGGUGUAUCACUUUCAUUCCCACAGCCGGGUGAUCCCCGGGCCUGGCCCCGGGCCUGGCUCUGCCCUCCGAGCUCAGGCAGUGCUGAGGAUCACAUUCAGAGGGCAGGAAAGUGUUUAGAGAUGGAAUGCUCCUAUUUUCUGUUUCCUUUGGAAGCUAUAGCAUAGCACACAAUGUCUGGAGGUGUUAGAAUCAGUUGUUUCUUGCAUUUUCAGAGGACCUGAAGCCAGCAGGAACUUGGUAAGGCCUAUGGAGACCGGUGAGAGGUGUCUGGCCGUGUAACCCCUCUGUGCAAGGCUGCUGCCUGAAGCACAUCGUGUCACCUCCUCUUGGAAACCAUCCAGCUCACCCGGCUACCUGCUGCUGGCCCUAGGAGCUUAUGGAAAAUGUGUCUUCCUGGCGAGUAAAGGACAGAUUGCUUCUCAAACAGAGUGUCCAGGCAGAGAAGUAAAAGGUUUUUGUGAGGCCACUUCUGUAGAUUUCAGCACAGAAGAAGAUUAACUGCAGCACAGGAACAGAAAUGAACAGUCAGCAUUUAAAGGAAAUACAAGAACUUCUAUGCCUAACUGUCAGAGAAAAACGUCAGGUAAUUACACCUUGAGCAACACUAAGAUUGCAUUUCAGUGAUUAUUAAGACAACAGAUAUCUUUGAAUUUGUUUCUCAACUGUCUCUUGCCUGUAAAACUGUGAGUUUAUUGUCAGAUUCACUAAUGACUUCAAACAGCCUUUAUGCUGUUUUAUAGAUCAGCUAUAACUUCAGGAAAACUGGGACCUUAACGAGUGCCGGUGCUGGGGCCUGGGCUUCAGCAAAAUCAUUCAUUGACACAGUGUGACCAAUGCUCAGUGUGCCUGUAGCACAGAAACUGUUCUUUGAAUGGUUAAAGCCUU
rnacentral:lncRNA from 1 species